rnacentral:rRNA from 1 species
GAUCCUGGCUCAGAAUCAACGCUGGCGGCGUGCCUAACACAUGCAAGUCGAACGAGAAAGUGGAGCAAUCCAUGAGUAAAGUGGCGCACGGGUGAGUAACACGUGACUAACCUACCCUUGAGUGGGGGAUAACCUCGGGAAACCUUGGCUAAUACCGCAUAACACCUACGGGUCAAAGGAGCAAUUCGCUUAAGGAGGGGGUCGCGGCAGAUUAGUUAGUUGGCAGGGUAAUGGCCUACCAAGACAGUGAUCUGUAUCCGGCCUGAGGGGGCGCACGGACACACUGGAACUGAAACACGGUCCAGACUCCUACGGGAGGCAGCAGUGGGGAAUUUUGCGCAAUGGGGGAAACCCUGACGCAGCAACGCCGCGUGGAGGAUGAAGUCCCUUGGGACGUAAACUCCUUUCGACCGGGACGAUAAUGACGGUACCGGAAGAAGAAGCCCCGGCUAACUUCGUGCCAGCAGCCGCGGUAAUACGAGGGGGGCGAGCGUUGUUCGGAAUUAUUGGGCGUAAAGGGUGCGUAGGCGGUUCGGUAAGUUUCGUGUGAAAUCUUCGGGCUCAACUCGAAGUCUGCACGAGAUACUGCCGGGCUUGAGUGUGGGAGAGGUGAGUGGAAUUUCCGGUGUAGCGGUGAAAUGCGUAGAUAUCGGAAGGAACACCUGUGGCGAAAGCGGCUCACUGGACCAU